rnacentral:tRNA from 17 species
UCCUCGGUAGCUCAGUGGUAGAGCAACCGGCUGUUAACCGGUUGGUCGCUGGUUCGAAUCCGGCCCGGGGAGCCA